rnacentral:other from 1 species
AAGCCCCUGCGGUGUUAGUGAUUGAUAAGAUUCUUUGUUCCAACACGAUAAAAAAGGGAGCUCUACCUGGUAUCAUGAGUGAUUUCCGUCAAUUGUCAUGGAAACCCGAAGGUGCCACAGGGUGCCCACCUAAAUAAAUAGGUUCAAAAGGUUUAUCAACACGGCAUUCCGCGGGGGCUUU